UACAAUAGCUCAGCAGAGAAGGACCGAGAAUUUCUUAUUCUGAGUUUCUUCACAGCUCCCGAGUUAUUGAAAUAGGAACAACAGAAGGAACCAGCCCCUCAGCCUCAGCCCUGGAAGAAGUCACGCGUGGACCUGCGAGAGCCAAGCAAUCACACUAAGAAGUGUUGCAUGAACUAAAGGAAAUGGCAGACUGACCUAAGUGUUCGAUUGAAGAACUGUACGAGAGGAGAUAUUGCCCAAUGCAAGGAACCUGAAAAGCGCUGCAAGUCUCCUCUCGCUUGUGUUUGCUCAGUGUUAUCAUUAUACAAGAAUACAGUGCAAAAUAGCUUCACAAAUAAAAACAGCAAAAAGGA